UCCGGUUUGUCACCGGCAGUCUCCCUAGAGUGCCCGACUUGACUCGCUGGCAACUAACGAUAAGGGUUGCGCUCGUUGCGGGACUUAACCCAACAUCUCACGACACGAGCUGACGACAACCAUGCACCACCUGUGCAGGACCCUUGCGGACCCGACAUCUCUGCCGGAUUUCCCUGCAUGUCAAGCCUUGGUAAGGUUCUUCGCGUUGCAUCGAAUUAAGCCACAUGCUCCGCCGCUUGUGCGGGCCCCCGUCAAUUCCUUUGAGUUUUAGCCUUGCGGCCGUACUCCCCAGGCGGGGCGCUUAAUGCGUUAGCUGCGGCACGGAUUCCGUGGAAGGAAACCCACACCUAGCGCCCAACGUUUACGGCGUGGACUAC
rnacentral:misc_RNA from 1 species